CUGCUUCUGGCUAUUGAGUUGCUCUCCGCUGCGUUCGCUCGUGUACUGACUGCUCGCGCUGAUCGCUGUGUGAGUGAACUAACGUUAAGUCGCUGCGUUCAGUCCGUGCGGCUGCAGCACACUUCUCCUUCACCGCUCUACGUGUUUUUCACCCUUUUUAAAAGGAAGCGAACGAGAGGAUGUGAGUCUUAAAUACAUCUGGGUGCGGCGCUCUAUUACAAGUGGUGGAAGAAGAAGAAAAAGAAGAAGAAAGGGAUUUGGGCUUUGCUGGUGCUACUGGUGGAGGUUUUUGCCGCUGUAACGUUACUUCACCGCUCAGCUUGUUGUGGUUGUGCUUGCGGACGUCUGUCUGGAUCUUUUUGGAGCUGUUUUUUUCCGUCUAAACUAACUACUCUCCGUUUUGUCCAGCCUCACUUCACGCUUCUGGAAGCCGAGGACACGUCGGAGACUCUUUUUUGUGUCUGCGUUUGGGAAGAAAGACAACUUAAGCAACUUUAUUUUCGUCUUUUUAUUGAGAGGAAGCUAACGUAAACGUUAGUGGAAUAAGCUAACGUGCUUUAGCCUGCCCGCUAGCUCCAGCCCAGCUCCCGUGGAAAAGCAAAGCAAAGCAAAGCAACAGCAGCAGCAGCCAGUGAUGGUUUUGUGUGGCCGGCUCACAUGGAUUUAAACGAUUUAAACUCUUCUGUUUUCUCAUAAAUGAAAUUGGAAACCUGUUCGAAAAGAUAAGCACCUGUAUUGCUGUUCGUUGGAUGUCUUUACUGCUGCGAAGUGGGAUCCUGAGAGCUGGGUUAUAAAUGACAAGUGUCUGAGAGUCG